GAUAAAGUGUCUGAAUAUUUUAGGUUGUAAAUUGUAAAUUUAUAUAUGGUUGGUUAAACCCUUUAUCG
rnacentral:tRNA from 1 species